AAAAAAAGAAAGAGAAAAAGAUCUGACACUUCCCUCUGUUCAUCCAUCUCUCCUUCUCCGUUCACCCACCUCCAUUCAUUUCCUUAACUUCUUUUUUUCUUUACUUCAAUGCUCUUUCUCUCUCUUAUAUGAGAGAAGAAAUUUCGUUUGGUUUUCUCAAAUCUACACACUAUUUCUCAAAAAUGGCGUUGGCGACUCAUCAUUUGCAGGUAAAUCAACGACGAUCCAUUUCCAAAUAAAUAUCGUUUCGCAGCUUGCUUUGUAAGGUAAACAUAGAAGUCUCCAUUUGACUUGGUGGACUUGAAGUCCAUAUUAUUUUUAUGUGGUGUACAAUUUUCCCUAUAUUAGUGGAAAAAGUUUCUACGAAUUGCCUCUACUCCGUGCAAAUUGUUUACUAGUUGGAUUCAGAAAUUUAUAAAUUAGGGUUUGUGUAUCCUUCGCAGGCGAACAAAUUUUGAAAAAGAGAAGUGUUCGAUUUUCUCAAAUGUACACACUAUUUCUGGCUUGUCUUUGCAUUGUUGCACAAAGAAUUUGAUUUUAUCCCCAAAUUUUUUUAUGUUCAUCUGGUAGGAAAUUCCACCCAAGACAAGAGGAGGAAGAGGGUAGAUUUUUUGGGGGGGGGGGGGGGGAAAAAAAGGGGGGGGGGGGGGGGUUUCUUUUUUUUNNNNNNNNNNNNNNNNNNNNNNNNNNNNNNNNNNNNNNNNNNNNNNNNNNNNNNNNNNNNNNNNNNNNNNNNNNNNNNNNNNNNNNNNNNNNNNNNNNNNNNNNNNNNNNNNNNNNNNNNNNNGGGGGGGGGGGGGGGAUAAAAAAGGGGAUGCGGGGGAGGACGAUAAUGGGAGAAAAGAAGACAGCGGUUAAGGGAAUUUUACUGGGAUGGGGAAGAGGGGGGGAAGAGGGUUUAUUUUCUUUCUUUUUAAUUUGUAUUUUUUUGUUCUUUAUAUUUUUUUAAUUAAAAUAAUUGUAGUCACGCGCGUAAUUUUCCCGACUUGCACACACUUUGUCCACAUUAUCUAUGUCACUACCACAUGUGCAUGGUCAGCGGUCAAAUAGAUUUAUUAGUUAUCGGAUACGAGAGUUUGAGUGUUCAAAUGUGAAUAAUAUAAGUUUGAAUAUCGAUUUUAAAAUCCGGUGCAAGUUUAAGUGGCCGGAAAGUCAUUUCGCCAUUAAUAUAUGUACACCUUAAAAGGAUUCUUUAUACAAAUAGCAAUUGAAUUUACUGUUCUUUAACCAGCAACAACUUCAAAUUCAGUUUAAUUGCACAAGUGAGGUCUAGAAACGGUAGUGUGUACACAGACAUUACCCUUACAUGAUAAAGAUAGAAAUGGUAGUGUGUACAUAUAUGUUUUUUAGCCAUCAUACAUGAAUUCUAUUGUACAUAUAUUAUACGUUCACUAGUUACUUUUAGUUUAAACGUAGAAUUGACAAUUAUUUAGGAUUUUAGGUUAAUUCUUCUACCUUAAAUAGUCCUAUUACAAAUAUUGUUUCGCUUUGUUCUUAUUUUAGACACUAGUCCAUAUUUGGAAAAGAUAUCGAACAUACAACUCAGUCUUUAUAAGAGAAAAGAAAAUGGAGAAGAACAAAAUAUUUAUCCGAUAUAAUUAAUUCCAUUUUUCUUUAUUUUGUUUGUUUGUUUAUCUAUUUUCCUCCUGAGUCGCCACAGUACAUAAGUUAUAUCUUUUGCGAUAAGCUUCAAAUGAAAAGCUAUAGCCUGACAUAUAUUUAUAGCCUUUUCAAAUCAUGGUUAUAGCAAUUACAAUAACACAAGGCAAAGAAAUUGCGCCAAAGAUGAUCUUACAUGUCCUGUUAGGUGUAGAAUCGAUGGAAAUAUUAUAUAUUAUUGCAUUCGUAUAUUCAAUUAUUUGGAAAAUUUAAGAAAUUCCACUAAUCUCCUUUGGAUAAUGCUAGUUUGCUAAGUUGAACGGAUUAAUUUCACUGAUGGUCACUCAGCUAUGUUUUAAUUUCAUUAAAGUCACUUAACUAUUUUUUGUCACUUAAAAGUAAAUAAACUUUCACAUUGUUACUUAAAAGUCAUUUUGGCUCAAAUCUCUACUAUUAAUAUGACAUGACAUAAAAUUUAAUGAGAAAAUCCAAAAAUAUAUGUCACGUAAACUUAAAUAGAUUAUACCCACUUUAGAUCUAUUUCUUCCUUAUUAUGAUUUGACCCGUAAUUCAAAUGUUUUCAAUAAAAAAAUAUUAAAUUUCACGUUAGAUUAAAAUGAUUAUCAUAUAAUACAAAAUUCUCGCAUUUUCUAUUACAAAAUGCUUUAUAAUUAUUCUAUGCUAAUUUUUUUUUAUCUUGUUUGUAUACCUCAUCCGAGUCGUUUCAUGUAUCUACUGAAGUUAAAAUAUGACUAUAUCCAACUCACAUAACAUAUUUAUAUUUUUUAGUAAAAUUAAAAUGGUAUUGUAUUAAUCUUACAUAACAUAUUAAUGUAUCAUAUGCAUACAAGAAUAAUAAUAAGGCUAAUAAGAGUCUUUGACUGAUGAUUUUAUUACUUUUAAAAAGCAACUGAUUUAUGUAUUCUUAAUUUUUGCAGCUCGCUGAAAAUGGUGUUGUCGUAAUAUCCAAUAUCAUAGUGUGUAGACGAUAAUAUGUGAGUAGCCUUCAAGCUUCAUCAUCUCUUCAAGCUAGUUUGAAAGACUCUACAAUUAGUUUCUUAUCAUGUGAAUUGCCCUUUUUUUUUGUGAACUUAGAGGAGCCGCUAUCAAUUCAGAUAACUUGAUGUUAUCUGCAUGGAUCUUAUUUCUUAUUCUUGAAAAUUCUCAUAUAUUUUUCUUGAUAUAUUUUGUGUCUUGCUAGUUUGUUUAUGUUAUAUUAUUGGUGAAAGAUAUAUCUAUAUAGGUUGUAAUUCGUACUCCGUAAAUUGUCUUACUUUGUUGGUAAACAAAUAUGUGGAGAAGUUAUAGUUUU
rnacentral:lncRNA from 1 species